rnacentral:RNase_P_RNA from 1 species
ACGGCAGUCCAGGCAGUCGCCGGUCGUCUCCUUCGGGAGCGGCGGGAGGAAAGUCCGAGCUCCACAGGGCACAGCGCCGGGUAACUCCCGGUCGGCGGAAGUCGAAGGAAAGUGCCACAGAAAGCAGGCAGCCGGGAGGUGGCUUUUAGGCCGCAACUCGCACCUUGCGCCCGAUCGAAUGUGUCGGUGGCGGAGGUGCAGCGGGUCUUUGACCUGCUGGUGAAGGUGAAAGGGUGCGGUAAGAGCGCACCGGCGGUCCGGGCAACCGGAUCGGCCAGGUAAACCCCGCUGGGAGCAAGGCCAUAUAGGGGCGUCUCGUGAGGUUGCCCGCCUCCAUGACGUCCGGGUAGGCCGCUUGAGUGCGUCGGUAACGGCGUGCCUAGAUGAAUGACUGUCCAUGGGUUGGCGGCAACGCCUCCCGGCACAGAACUCGGCUUACGGACUGCCCGACUC